UACGAAGGGGGCUAGCGUUGCUCGGAAUCACUGGGCGUAAAGCGCACGUAGGCGGAUUGUUAAGUCAGGGGUGAAAUCCUGGAGCUCAACUCCAGAACUGCCUUUGAUACUGGCGAUCUUGAGUCCGGGAGAGGUGAGUGGAACUGCGAGUGUAGAGGUGAAAUUCGUAGAUAUUCGCAAGAACACCAGUGGCGAAGGCGGCUCACUGGCCCGGUAUUGACGCUGAGGUGCGAAAGCGUGGGAGCAAACAGG
rnacentral:rRNA from 1 species